AGUGAACGCUGGCGGUAGGCCUAACACAUGCAGGUCGAACGGCAGCACAGGAGAGCUUGCUCUCUGGGUGGCGAGUGGCGGACGGGUGAGGAAUACAUCGGAAUCUACUCUGUCGUGGGGGAUAACGUAGGGUAACUUACGCUAAUACCGCAUACGACCUACGGGUGAAAGCAGGGGAUCUUCGGACCUUGCGCGAUUGAAUGAGCCGAUGUCGGAUUAGCUAGUUGGCGGGGUAAAGGCCCACCAAGGGGACGAUCCGCAGCUGGUCUGAGAGGAUGAUCAGCCACACUGGAACUGAGACACGGUCCAGACUCCUACGGGAGGCAGCAGUGGGGAAUAUUGGACAAUGGGCGCAAGCCUGAUCCAGCCAUACCGCGUGGGUGAAGAAGGCCUUCGGGUUGUAAAGCCCUUUUGUUGGGAAAGAAAUCCAGCUGGCUAAUACCCGGUUGGGAUGACGGUACCCAAAGAAUAAGCACCGGCUAACUUCGUGCCAGCCGCCGCCGUAA
rnacentral:rRNA from 1 species